rnacentral:rRNA from 1 species
AUUGAACGCUGGCGGCAGGCCUAACACAUGCAAGUCGAGCGGAGCGGCGGACGGGUGAGUAAUGCCUAGGAAUCUGCCUGGUAGCGGGGGAUAACGUCCGGAAACGGGCGCUAAUACCGCAUACUAUCGGAUGAGCCUAUGUCGGAUUAGCUAGUUGGUGGGGUAACGGCAUACCAAGGCGACGAUCCGUAACUGGUCUGAGAGGAUGAUCAGUCAAAUUGGAAAUGAGACAGGGCCCAGACUCCUACGGGAGGCAGCAGUGGGGAAGAUUGGACAAUGGGCGAAAGCCUGAUCCAGCCAUGCCGCGUGUGUGAAGAAGGUCUUCGGAUUGUAAAGCACUUUUAGAAGGAAAGCGUUACCAGCAGAAUAAGCACCGGCUAACUCCGUGCCAGCAGCCGCGGUAAUAC